UGCCUUUGCAUCUAGAAUCGGUUCGCUCUCGGCAAAUUGCAGUGCGAAGUCCUUGGUUGAUACCUAAUUGAGCGGAUCCAAAUUAGGCACUUUUUCACUAGUUCGAUUCUUCGUCGUUGUCCGCGGUCUCUCGAAUCAAUCAGUGGACCAGUUGUAGCUUCUAUCGUACCGACCUGCAUAAGAGAUUUCUGGCUAAAAAAGAACCACAGUCGUGACUAUGUUUUUAGUCCGCAGAUACUUUAAAUCAAUUUAGUUGGACGGAGUUUUCCUUUUAAAUACAUACAAUACCGUCAGCUUGUUAAUUUCAACUGUAUUAUAAUUGCGUCAAAGUUGAGCGUAGAUUCGAUUACCGUUUCUCUUUCAUUUUGAUCAUGCGUCGAUUGAUUAUUCGUAUCUAUCGUGU